AUGGAGUCUAACAUAUGUGCGAGUGUUUGAGUGUAAAACUCAGGCGCGUAAUGAAAGUGACUGUUCGUUCGGCGAACUGAGGUGGGAAUCCGCAAGGAGGCACCAUCGACCGAUCAUGAUCUUCGGUGAAAGAUUUGAGUUUGAGCAUACAUGUUGGGACCCGAAAGAUGGUGAACUAUGCCUGAAUAGGGCGAAGCCAGGGGAAACCCUGGUGGAGGCUCGUAGCGGUUCUGACGUGCAAAUCGAUCGUGAAAUUUGGGUAUAGGGGCGAAAGACUAAUCGAACCAUCUAGUAGCUGGUUCCCUCCGAAGUUUCCCUCAGGAUAGCUGGAGUUGAACAGUUUUAUCAGGUAAAGCGAAUGAUUAGAGG
rnacentral:rRNA from 1 species